rnacentral:rRNA from 1 species
UACAGAGGUCUCAAGCGUUGUUCGGAUUCAUUGGGCGUAAAGGGUGCGUAGGCGGCGCGGUAAGUCGGAUGUGAAAUCUCGGAGCUUAACUCCGAAACUGCAUUCGAUACUGCCGUGCUUGAGUGCGCUCGACGUGGGCGGAAUGUGCCGUGUAGCGGUGAAAUGCUUAGAUAUGGCACAGAACACCGAUAGUGAAGACAGCUCACGAGGGCGUUACUGACGCUGAGGCACGAAAGCGUGGGGAUCGAACAGG